GACGAACGCUGGCGGCGUGCUUAACACAUGCAAGUCGAACGGAAAGGCCCUGCUUUUGUGGGGUGCUCGAGUGGCGAACGGGUGAGUAACACGUGAGUAACCUGCCCUUGACUUUGGGAUAACUUCAGGAAACUGGGGCUAAUACCGGAUAGGAGCUCCUGCUGCAUGGUGGGGGUUGGAAAGUUUCGGCGGUUGGGGAUGGACUCGCGGCUUAUCAGCUUGUUGGUGGGGUAGUGGCUUACCAAGGCUUUGACGGGUAGCCGGCCUGAGAGGGUGACCGGCCACAUUGGGCCUGAGAUACGGCCCAGACUCCUACGGGAGGCAGCAGUGGGGAAUAUUGCAAAAUGGGCGGAAGCCUGAUGCAGCAACGCCGCGUGCGGGAUGACGGCCUUCGGGUUGUAAACCGCUUUCGCCUGUGACGAAGCGUGAGUGACGGUAAUGGGUAAAGAAGCACCGGCUAACUACGU
rnacentral:rRNA from 1 species